GUCGACACUGCACAUCGGCUGGCGGAAGAUAUCCUGCGCUUCGCCCGCUGCCGCCAGGGUGGUGCAUUGACCUGACAGAAACACAGAAAAGAAGCGAUUUGCCGCAAUCUUAAGCAGUUGAAUCGCUUUUACUGAAAUUAGGUUGACGAGAUGUGCAGAUUACGGUUUAAUGCGCCCCGUUGCCCGGAUAGCUCAGUCGGUAGAGCAGGGGAUUGAAAAUCCCCGUGUCCUUGGUUCGAUUCCGAGUCCGGGCACCAAAUUCAUAUAAACGGACCUCCACGGAGGUCCGUUUUUCGUUUCAGGACGCCACGAUUUAAGCG
rnacentral:tRNA from 1 species